AACGCGAAGAACCUUACCUGGGUUUGACAUCUCCUGACAACCGUAGAGAUACGGCUUUCGUAGCAAUACGACAGGAAGACAGGUGCUGCAUGGCUGUCGUCAGCUCGUGUGGUGACAUGUUGGGUUAAGUCCCGCAACGAGCGCAACCCUUGUCCUUAGUUGCCAGCAUUGAGUUGGGCACUCUAAGGAGACUGCCGUGGUGAACACGGAGGAAGGUGGGGAUGACGUCAAGUCCUCAUGGCCUUUAUAUCCAGGGCGACACACGUGAUACAAUGGACGGUACAGAGGGAAGCGAAAGGGAGACCUGGAGCCAAUCUCAAAAAGCCGUUCUCAGUUCGGAUUGGAGUCUGCAAUUCGACUCCAUGAAGUUGGAAUCGCUAGUAAUCGCGGAUCAGCACGCCGCGGUGAAUACGUUCCCGGGCCUUGUACACACCGCUCGUC
rnacentral:rRNA from 1 species